UGUCCCCAUCAUCCCUGUUCGUAUCCUCUAGCUUGGUCGCGCUCCUAUUGAUUUUCUAGUGCAGGCAGGUACCUCGCUGGCAUCCAGGGAUACCGUUCCACUUUCCUUCACCUUAGCUUUUACAAGCUGGCAUAUGGGGUUAAGACAGCCUCCUGGCCGGCCGGGAAGAGAGCAAGUGAUGGAAACAUGACUGACAGUGGGGAUGAAACAAUAUUCCUGGUGCAAAGUUCUGAGAAUUCCAAAGGUCUUGAAUUGUUCUGUGACUUAUUUGUCAUGAAUGCAAAUCCUGGCUCAGAAAUAGUGUGUGAGGCCCAGGAUGUUGAUUCUACUGAGCAGGGGCAAGAAAAGAACCAUCAUUGUAAAAGAGGCUUCAGGAAACAGAAAGGCAUUAUUGUUCAACAAAACAUUCUUCCAGGAGAGAAGCCAUAUAUCUGUGUUGAAUGUGGACAAAGCUUCAGCCAGAGCUAAGACCUGGUCAGACAUCAAAGGAUCCACACAGGAGAGAAACCAUAUAUGUGUGUGGACUGUGGAAAGAGCUUCAGUAGGCAUUCACACCUCAUUCAGCAUGGGCAAAUUCAUACAGGAGAAAGACCAUACAAGUGUCAAGAUUGCGGGAAGACCUUUACCCAGAGCACACACCUCAUCCAGCAUCAGCACAAUCACAUUGGAGAAAGUCCAUAUGUGUGUGGCAAAUGUGGAAGACACUUCUACCAGAACUCAGGUCUUCUUCAACAUGCCAGCUGACAUAUAGGGCGGAAACCAUACAUGUGCCCAGAUUAUGGGAAAUGUUUCAGUGACAGCUCUAACCUUGGGACUCAUCAGAGACUACAUACAGAGCAAAAAGAAAAGAAAAAGCUGACAGUUGACAAACUGAAAGAAGAAAAGAAAAAUCUUUUCCACAGAAGAUUGUUAGGCUGUUGCGCUCAGCAUUGCAGAUGUUGCUAAACCCAGGAAAUCAUUUCAUACUUUUG